rnacentral:rRNA from 1 species
UACGUAGGCAGCGAGCGUUGUCCGGAUUUAUUGGGCGUAAAGGGCGCGUAGGCGGCUAGAUGUGUCAAAGGUGAAAUCCCUCGGCUCAACUGAGGAACUGCCUUUGAAACUGUCUGGCUUGAGGCCGGGAGAGGGUAGCGGAAUUCCCAGUGUAGCGGUGAAAUGCGUAGAUAUUGGGAGGAACACCAGUGGCGAAGGCGGCUACCUGGACCGGUUCUGACGCUGAGGCGCGAAAGCGUGGGUAGCAAACAGG